UAUGUGAUAGAAGUAAGACUGAAUGAUCUCUUUCACUGGUGAUCAUUCAAGUCAAGGUAAAAUUUGCGAGUUCAAGCGCGAAUUUUCGGCGAAUGUCGUCUUCACAGUAUAACCAGAUUGCUUGGGGUUAUAUGGUCAAGUGAAGAAGCGCAU
rnacentral:misc_RNA from 1 species